CCUACGGGAGGCAGCAGUGAGGAAUAUUGGUCAAUGGGCGGGAGCCUGAACCAGCCAAGUCGCGUGCGGGAAGACGGUCCUAUGGAUUGUAAACCUCUUUAGGCGGGGAGCAAUGCCGGGCACGCGUGCCCGGAGGGAGAGUACCCGCCGAAUAAGCAUCGGCUAACUCCGUGCCAGCAGCCGCGGUAAUACGGAGGAUGCGAGCGUUAUCCGGAUUGAUUGGGUUUAAAGGGUGCGUAGGCGGAUUUUUAAGUCAGCGGUAAAAUGUCCGGGCUCAACCCGGGCCGGCCGUUGAAACUGGGGAUCUUGAGUGGGCGAGAAGUAUGCGGAAUGCGUGGUGUAGCGGUGAAAUGCAUAGAUAUCACGCAGAACUCCGAUUGCGAAGGCAGCAUACCGGCGCCCGACUGACGCUGAGGCACGAAAGCGUGGGGAUCGAACAGGAUUAGAUACCCCAGUAGUC
rnacentral:rRNA from 1 species